AGGUGAAACACAGGAAGUACAGGUGAAACACAUGGUAAAUACAGGUGAAACACAGGAAGUACAGGUGAAACAUGGUAAAUACAGGUGAAACACAGGAAAUACAGGUGAAACACAUGGUAAAUACAGGUGAAACACAGGAAGUACAGGUGAAACACAGGAAAUACAGGUGAAACACAUGGUAAAUACAGGUGAAACACAGGAAGUACAGGUGAAACACAGGAAGUACAGGUGAAACACAUGGUAAAUACAGGUGAAACACAGGAAGUACAGGUGAACCACAUGGUAAAUACAGGUGAAACACAUGGUAAAUACAGGUGAAACACAUGGUAAAUACAGGUGAAACACAUGGUAAAUACAGGUGAACCACAUGGUAAAUACAGGUGAAACACAGGGUAAAUACAGGUGAAACACGUGGUAAAUACAGGUGAAACACAUGGUAAAUACAGGUGAAACACAGGAAGUACAGGUGAAACACAGGAAGUACA